UCUCUCCACUUCCUGUUAACAUUUCAAAUCCGGGAGCGAGUACAUCACUCACUCACUCAACGUUCCCGGCAAAGAUGGCCUCUCGUGAGGAAGAAAAUCACAUCAGAAAUCUGAACGAGUUGUCGAAACAAGCAAUUGAUGAAUGUGAAGAAUUGAUAAAAGAAAAUGAGAGAAUAAGAGAUGAGAAUGCAAAAUUGAUUGAAGAAAGAAAUAAUGCUAUUCAUCAACUGAAGGAGUUUCAUAGAGUUUCACAGUUGGUGAUUGAGGAAGUCAGUACUAUACAAAACCACCUUGACAUUGAGAAAAGUUGCCGUGAAAAUGCAGAAGUGUUUGCUUCGAAGCUGGAGAAAGACAACAAGUCUCUUAAAAGAAUCAGCAAUUUGUAUAUGGCCAAACUUGGAAAGGAGACCACCUCGCUAGACUUGUCUUUAGAUGAGGAUUCAGCAAUUGAUGUGACAAAUGCAACAUUGGACAAAGAUGCCAAAUGUUCCUCUGUUGACUGCCAACAUCAAAUCCAAGAACUUCAAAAUGAAUUGAUAUCAACACUUGAAGAGAAGAAGCAGUUAUCUUUUCAGUUGGAAAACCUGAAAGGUCAUUGGGAGGACCUAACUGAUAAACUACAGAAGGAAGAGCAGAGAAACAUUGAUCUGGCUGCAGAGAUUGAUAAGCAGAAUCAACUUCUAGCCAAGUACAACAAAGUUUCCAUUUUGGCCCUGGAGGAAUAUGAGGACCUGGAAAAAAGUCUGGAUCUGGAGAAGGAUCUCCGAAAGGAGGCAGAAACUUUUGCCCAUGAGAUGCUUUUGGAACAAAAGAAACUUAAAAGGCAAAGUCAAAUUCUUAUUCAGAAGAUGGUGCCUAAUGAGCAGUUGAUGAAAGCACUUGAUGACCUUGCUAUUGUCACAGAGACUAUAGAGGAGGAGCGAAUUCUGCAUGAGAAAAAGCUAAAGGAGAUGCAGGAACAAUUAGAUGAUUGCACCCUUAAGAAGGAAUUAAAUUCACUGAUGAAACAGCUUGAGCUUCUCAAAGAAGACAAAGAAGAACUCGAACUAAAAUGCCAAAACUAUUCCCAGCAAGUGAAAGAUCUGAAACACACCAUUGAUGAGCUACAGAAGCAGAUCCAACAAGCAGAAAAGUCAACGCUAUCACUGCCGCCGCCACCACCUCCUCCGCCACCUCCAAUGUCAUCACCCUCUUCAAGUCCACUCAAAAAUCUGAUGAAGAUCAUUUCUAAAGGACAGAAAACAUCCAAUUUGUCUGGUGUUGGAAAGGCCCUACCUGAAGAAGCAGGGAAACCUUUAGAAGAUCUGAAGAAACAGGCUGUUGAUGAAAUGAUGGAGAGAAUUAAGAAGGGUGUUCACCUUCGGAAAGUUGAUCAUACUAACAGGACUCGGCUGAAUAAGAAUGAACCUCCGGAAGAAAAUGCACUCCAAGAACUCAGAGGAAUGUUGAAAUCUAGUAAAGUUGGAACAUUGACAACAAUUACUCAGGUUGCUGAAGAAAACGAGCUGGAAAGAGUUCUUCGACACAGAAAGGCAGCAGCAGAAACUAAUGCUAGUGGCAAGAUCUCAAUAAACUCGGUUUAUAAUCCAUAGCUAAUGAUUCUUCAAGAGCAAUUGGCUACCGGGUGUUUUUUUUAUCCAAGCUGGACCAUUUUCUUCCACUUAUGGCACGAUCAAUUUUCAAACUGGUUCACUUUGGAGAAAGGCUGUUUCUGACCAGCUUUGUAACUGCUU